GCGGGGCCGGGGCUCGUCGUCUGACUUCCGGCCGGCCGUUGUCUGGCGGCGCGGGCGAGUCAUCCUCGGGCCUGGCCGCCGGGCCCCGCUUCCCUCCGCCGCCUCCGCGCCCCCCGCCUCGGCGCGGGGGGUCCAGGUGCCCGGGGCGGGCUGCCCCCGGUACCCCGCGCUCAGGCUCGGGCUGCGCGGCCCGAUGCGGCACAGCCUAAGCCAGCUGCUGGCGGCGUCCGGCGCGGACUCCCCGGCCCACGAGGGCGAGGCGGGGGCCGAGGGCGGGGGCCGUGCGCCGUCGCCCCGGGAGAUGGAGGAGGAGGCGCUGGGCCGUGUCCCGGGGGAGGAGGCGGAGGACAUGGACUUUCUGUCGGGGCUGGAGCUGGCCGACCUGCUGGACCCGCGGCCGCCGGCCUGGCCCCCGGAGCCCGGGCCCGGCUCGCCCGGGCCGCUGUCGUCGUCGGGCGGCGGCUCGGAGGGCGGCGGCCCGUGGCGGGCGGACGAGGACGACGAGGCCGCGGCCGCCGAGAUGCAGCGCUUCGCCGACCUGCUGCAGCGGCUCCUCAACGGCAUCGGCGGUGGCGGCGGCGGCGGCGGCGGCGGCGAGAAGCGGCGGCGGAAGGGCGGCGGCGGCGACGGCGGCGGCGGCGACGGGCUGGCGGCCACCCGGAGCCCGCGCAAGGCGGCGGCGGCGGCGGCGCGCCUCAACCGCCUGAAGAAGAAGGAGUACGUGAUGGGGCUGGAGAGCCGCGUGCGCGGCCUGGCCGCCGAGAACCAGGAGCUGCGGGCGGAGAACCGGGAGCUGGGCCAGCGCGUGCAGGCGCUGCAGGAGGAGAGCCGCUACCUGCGCGCCGUGCUGGCCAACGAGAGCGGCCUGGCGCGCCUGCUGGGCCGCCUGAGCGGCGUGGGGCUGCGCCUCACCUCCUCGCUGCUGCGCGAUGCGCCCUGCGACCACGACUACGCGCGGCCCAUGGGCGCUCGGCCGCCUGAGGGACCCCCCGACGACGAUGCACCCGGCGGCGUGUGCCUGCACGUGGACAAGGACAAGGUGUCGGUGGAGUUCUGCGCCGCGUGCGCCCGGAAGGCGGCGUCCUCGCUGAAAAUGUAGGGUCAAGUAGUCUCCUUCCCCCUCCAAACUCCCUCACACGCAGAACACCCUAGUGUGUGUGGGACCUCGGCACCGGACACGUGGCAGAGGAGAAAAAAAAAAAAUUUCUUUUUUAGGUGAUUUCCUUCCUGCCAGGCUCCGUUGUAGGGGUUACAGAACAGUCGUUCCCGCCUCCCAACCUGGUAAGGAUCCAUCUCUUCACGUAACGCUCAUGCUCGGCUGCUUAGUCUACUUUAAUGGGCAACAUCUCAAGUGUGCGUGUGUGUGUGGUUUUUUUCUUCUCUUUUGUUUUGGAAGGCGGGAGGGGAAAUCUGCUUUGGGCCCUGUCCACCCUGGAAACAGACUUGUGCUGGUCAAUCAUGUCUUGAAGAUGCUUCUUUGGUUGAAAUAGCUGUUAAUGUGUCCCCUGUUCAGACUUGCGUGUACCUAGCUCUUCUGUCCCCAGUGUGGACAUGGCCUUGGAUGACAUCGGUUCCAACUGUACACUGACAGCUGCUAAUAGAGAUAACAGUUUGGAGACAGUGACACAGGUGAAGUUGAAUGGAAGUUCCGAGUUGUACAAGGUGCAAAUUGGAAUUCCAGUUUUAGAACAACUUUCCAGAGGUUCCUAAGAAGUCUGGGGCAUGCACAAAUGUGGUAGUUUCGAUAGUUACUUCUCUGGAGCCGGCAGAAAUCUUAAAAUAUCUCCAAGAAUGCUUUUUUAAGUUUUCAGUAGAAGAUCUAGAAAUGAUACCUUUUAAGAUGGACAGAUUUGACUAUCACUAGUAGAAAGGUUGGAAGUUAACAUGCCUAAUCAGACUCCCGCGUUAGUUAAUUGAAGGAAGACUAAGAAUGGUAAAUGAGACCUUUGAGGACCAGCACAGUGAUUACCUUAUCACUGAGUAUGAAUAAAUUGUUGAAGACCUUUAUUUUUGUUGUAUUAAAAUUUUAGGUUAAAUUCAUGUAUGAUUAAGAUAUAGAAGGUUUUGAAAUGUGAAUGAAAACGUGUAAAGUGAGGCUUCACAAAGAAUCUUAUUCUCAAGGCUAUUUAUUAUCAAGGGUAUUUGUCCUAUUUACAAAUUGCUUUGAAAAUGGAGGGCUUCUGGCUACUUAAUGACAUAAUUGACACUUUCUCCGAAGACUGGACAUAUUCUUCCCUUGAAUUCUUUCCUAAUUGCUGUCGUCCAAGUGUGUGACUUGAGUUAUGAAGUACUUCAGGAUAAAAGGCAUUAAAUUCUUUGUGAAACAUCACUGUUUGAUAAAGUUAUACGUAUUUAGUAUCCUUGUUUUUCUUUGUGCUAAAGUGGAUACAGCUGUUGGGGCAGAAGAGACGGGACCAGCUGCUGGCCACAUUUCCUGCUUUAUUUUAAAAGGUAGUAUAAGAAAUGAGGAAAAAGAGGUAAUAUCAGGGCUUCUGCUGUCUUUUAUUUUAAAUUGUUCAUGAUUAAGUAUUUUCCAGCAGUCCAAAGAUGUAAGUUAUCUUACACAUAAAAUGUUUUAUUUUGCUGUUAUUUGGUUAUGAAAAUGGAAUUCUUGUUCUUGCACACCUGUAAAUGUUCUGUUGCUAGGUAAUACAAUUUGAGACCUAACUUGGUCUCUGGUUUCCAGUGCAUCACAUCAUAUUUUGUAAAAAAAAAAAAAAAAAACCAUCUACUGCACUUGAGCAUGAAUGGGUAAUAGCCAAACUCAAAAGCUGGAGUGAUGAACCUGCUUAUACAAGUGCAGGACCAAGCCCCUCACAAUGCAGCUGCAUGAAUUUUUAGUGCCUACUGAAUUUUAUAUAUAUAUAUCUAUAUAGGGAGAUAUAGAUAUAGAUAUAUAUAAACCAAAAGUAGUUGGAAAAGUUAUUUGAAAUGACUAACUUGUGCUAUCUUUAUGGAAUAUGUUAAAUGUAGCUUUUUGAAACAGAAGCCUUGAAUUGAAAUUAAUACUUGAACAUUUUGUAUCUAUUUCUUUGUAUAUAAUUUUGUGCAGUACCAAUGACAAAACUAUGGUGUCAUAAUAAAACCAGGUUUGUUGAUCUUUCAGUUAUGUGCUCAAAGAAUUUAUUCAUCUCUAACAUGACAUUGGAACAUAAUGGAUGAAAAUAGGAAAAAAAUGAUUGUUGUUAAUGCUGACUGUGGGUCUUAAAAGGUUCUGGAAGCAGUAAGUGCGUUUUACUUAAAAAAAAAUGCCAUUCCCUUGGAAUAUUUUCUUCCUAAUGUCUGUGCUAUUUUCCCUGCUUUACUCAAAGUUUUGGGGUUGGGGUAGUCAAAGGUUUCUGAAUUGGGAUGCUUUGAAAUUCCAAGUGUAGAUUUUUAGAUUGUCAUUUUAUAAAUGGCAUUUUGGGGUAAUACUUGAUUAAGAACUUUUGAAAAUGGAGAUUAGUGUUGCCUAUUUUUAAAGCUGCUUUGUUAGAUUUCUUGUGUUUUAACUGUCAUCUUAGUUUUCAUUUCAUUCUUUUCCUUUCCUCCCUCCCCCCCAAUUUUGGUGACUUUAGUGAUUUUGUCAUUUUUACAUCAACUUCAUGGUCUUGUUUUUUUACAUGGUAUCGCAUGUAUUUAGGACCUAUCUAACCAGGGACUUUAAGUAAAAUUUGGUCAUAUUUAUGUGUAAGCACAUUUUACUGUAAAUGUUGAGUUUUUGAAUUUGCAGUAGAUUUGUUUAUUUCAGUGUGUAGUAAACAAUAUAUUUAAAAGUGUCCUAUUCACUACUUGUUAAUUAAAAAGUUAUGAUUAAUAUGAAGCUGUUGUCUUACUAUUUUUAGAAAGUUGUGUUCUGAAUGACUAGCAGUCAAAGGUCUCGAGAAUUUAAUAUGGGCUCUUUUAAAAGUUUUAGUAUUAGUGAUCUUGUAAUUGAUUAAAAAAAAUUUAAUAUUCAGGAGAUUUUUUUGUUUUGUUUUUUUUAACCUCUUUGUGCCUCUAUGGCAAAAUGAUGCAGAACUUUUAGCUUUGAAAUAUUUGUCUUCUGAUGGUGACAGGACUCAUACAGUGAUUAAACUAACACAUCAUACUGACCUAUUUUUAUCAUACUGAUUUAGUGUUUCUGCACUUCUUGACCAGAUAUAAAAUCCACAUUUGUUAAAAUGUAAUCACACCUGAUAUAAUCCUAAAGAAAGUGUUCAAAAUAUUUUAAAUGUCCAUUUUAUAAUCACUAAAUUUAUCUCUUUCUCUUCUCUUUAAACAGCUUAGCAGUGUCUGCAAAAAACGAAUCUUUUCCUACAACCUGUUAACUGACUGGACUGAUGGUAACAGAGUAAUUGUGGGAGCCAUGUCGGUCAAAAAAUUGGCAUCUGCUGAAAAAAAAUGAAUGCCAUUUUCAAGUUCCCAAAUUACUUCUAAUUUCACUUUCCAGAAAUGGAGAUAUGAAAAGAUUCUCUGGAAUCCUUAAAAGACUUAAUAGAGAUACAUGAGACUAAGUUAAUUUGGAAUGAAAUUACACUUUUUUCUUUGUCUUU